GGGUGGAGGCCGGAUCCUGGGAUGUGUCCCGGUGCCCGGGGCUCCUGGCCCUGCGCUGUUCGAUUUGUGUUCCCGGCCGCGCAGCUGCCU
rnacentral:pre_miRNA from 1 species